rnacentral:rRNA from 1 species
UAACACGUAGGUAAUGUACCGUAGGGUGGGGAAUAACUUAGGGAAACUUAAGCUAAUACCGCAUAAUGCAGCGGCUCGACAUCGAGACAGUUGUUAAAGGAGCAAUCCGCCUUAUGAGCAGCCUGCGGCAGAUUAGCUUGUUGGUAAGGUAAUGGCUUACCAAGGCUACGAUCUGUAACCGACCUGAGAGGGUGGUCGGUCACACUGACACUGAAUAACGGGUCAG